UGGGUGACAGAGCAAAACCCGGCCUCAAAAAGAGGAAAAAAAAAAAGAAAAAGAAAAGAAAAUGAUUUUUCACAUUUUGCACUCCUAACACUUUUUUAAGAAUUUAUUUCUGUAUAUAUUUAUAGAUCUUUAUAUCACCAAGUCUUAAAAGUUACUUUUUCAGAGAAAUAAUAAAACCUCCAUGUAAUCAUAGAUUCAUCAGUUAUCAAUACUCAAAGGUUCCUCUUUAAAACUAGUAUAUCAUGGCACUAAAAGCACAGAUUUUGGGGUCAAACAGCAUUGGGUUCCAGUCUUUGCUCUGCCAAUUACCAGCUAUGUGACUCUGGCCAGGUCGUUUCUCUCCUGAGGCCUUUGUGCCUUCAUUUAUAAGUCAGGCUAGUCACAGGUCUUUCCUAGGAUUGUUAUGAAGAGACACAAAACGGCAAGAAAAAGCACUGUACUGGUGCCAGGAAGAGUGUCCCAUGAAUGGUCACUAUGACAAUAUACACAAGUGGCCUCUUUCUCCACGCCCCCUCUGUUGAGGGCAGGCACACAGGGCAGGCGCAUGGGGCAGGGAGAAGCCAUGGAUCCAGGUGAGAGAGUGCAGUGACAAAGCAAGUGGAGUUAUUUCGUACUAAUGUUAAGUGGUUAGGAACAAACAAAACUGAGACUCUUGGGCCAGGGUGCUGCAGCGAGGUGCUUGUGGCCUUAGGUUGUUGGAGAGCAGAGGCAAGCCCGCUCCAGGACCUCCAUGCUCCGCCUCCUUUCUGCCUUGACCCCUCACCACUGCGAUAGCAAUGAGCUUUCCAGUAAGUACUAGAAAAACUCAUCUCUCUUCCUUUAUGGGGGAUGGGGGGUACUAAGUAUGGAGAAAGGUCUCACCGGCUCCAGCCAACCGGGAGCCUGAUUUCCUUAGUAAGAUUAAGAUCUGGACCCACAGAGUGGUCCAACCCAACCCCGGUACUUGGCCCAAGAUCUUCUGUCAGACAAUUUCCCUCCCUGUAACUCCCUAGAGCAGGAGUUCUUCAGGUCUCUUCCCCAUUUGGCAGCUCAUGCAAAGCUACUUGAAAUAGUAACAACGAAAUCUGAAUUAGGAAAGAACUCCAGUUAUGGGUGGGCUCAGCCUAAGAAAGAGGCUCUGUGGGCCUCCUGGCUUGUUUGGGCCCUGAGAACAGACUCCAUCAACAAUGGCCUCACUCUUGGGGCUGCACACUGAAUUCUGCCCUUCAAGGGAUAACUGAGGGAGGUAGGCCAAACUCCUGUUCCUCCACCUCCACCCCUCCCUACCCCUGCAAGCCAGCAGUCUCCAUUCCCACUCGGAGAAAUCCCGCAGGUAGGCUCUGGAGCCAUGCCACCCAGCACCAUGAAGAAAUGGAUGGCAGCAGAGGGUAAUGAUGGAGAGCAGGAGUCCUGGUUUAAAACCCCAGCUCCGCCUUUUGUUGGUUGUGCUACCUUGUGCAAGUCACUUCAUCUCUUAAAGGGGAAUAGCAACUGGUUUGUUGAAGAUAAAAGAGAGAUAACAUGUGGAAAAUGCUGGGCAUUGUGCCCAGCCCAUUUCAAGGACUCAGUAAUGGACAGCUGUAAUUAUCUUUACAGCUUUAAAGAGCUUGGGGCUUUGAUGGCAAACAGACUGAAUUUGAACCCUGGCUUGACCAGACCAUUUACUACAUUAGUCUGGGAAUGAUUCCCCUAAGCAAACAUCCCAGAGAGAAGAAAAGCAAAAGACACACAGCUAAAUGGACAACAGUUCCCAGCCUCGUCACAGGAGAACUCUUUGGAGCCAAGUGAACCCCUGGGUCUCCUUUUUCCCACCCCAUCACUUCAGCGCUUUGAGAUCAAGUUCGAACUCAGUCCCAACACAGAGUGUCACUGCAAAUUGUUUAUUAAAACACAAAGCAAUGGACAGUGAAAAACAUCCUGAUUUUGUACUUUUUGGUGGGAGUGGGGUGGGACAUGGAAGGGGUAGGGUCAGAUGGAGACAGCCCAGAAGGAAAGCCAGCUCUAUCCACCCCUACAGCUUCCCCGGCCAACCAGGUUCAAAGCCCAUCAGUUAUAUCUCACUGUGCCGCUGUCAAUGCAUGUUGUGGCUGCUGGCAAAGAGUUGGUUUGGCCUCCACAGAGAGAGGAUGGGAAACUAGGGUAGAAGCUACAAGGGCUAAGAACUUGAUGCUUUUUCUCCAGUACUUGGUACAGAAUAGAGCAGCCAGGCCCAAUGUGGAAGGGUGGGCUUGGUUUCCUGACAAGCCAGGUUAGACCAAUAAUGGUUGAAGAGGCUGCCCUGGGCUCAGAAUGGGCAGCUGGUCCUUGCCUGGGAGAACUUUGUGGAAGGAAAAGGUAAGAUUCCUUAAGUCCAAGGAGAGAACCAAUCCAGGGUCAAAUUUCUUUUCAUUCCCUGGAUCACAACACACCAGGGAAGAGAGGAGUCAAGAAUGUCUCUCCCUGCCAGUGCUCCCCUCCUACCUCGCAACUCGGCUCUCCCUUCCCGACAGUUGUCCUUUGAAAGGACGGAAAGCGCACUUCAGUUUGUUGUUGUUUUUCCUCAUACUGAAAUAAAGCACUGAAGCUCAAAAUAGAGGUGAGAAUGGAGUUCUGCUUUCCCCAGUGCUAUGUGCCCCCAUCUCACAAGACUGCCUGGAUGCAAGAGGUGCCAAGGCCCUCUCUGCCAACUCAAACAGGCACUACUGUUUCCUUGGCUGCCAGCACAAUCCUGGCUCCUUGUGUUUAUACUCCUGGGGGAACCUGUCCCAAGAGAUCCAUCCUGCUCUUUUCCUGCCAACCCAGCUAGUCCCCAAAUCACCUGCUCUUAUCAAGAUAAUCUGGCCCCCCAUAGCAGGCUAGACAAAAGGCAGCUGGAAAGGACAGGCCAGACUGGAAGCAAGCCACACAGAUGCAAAGAAGAAACCUGCCCUCGCUAGGCAGCUGAUCUACUGGUACCAAUCUAGUCUCAUAACAAAAUGAGGAAAUCUAGCCCUCUUGCCCCAGAGAGAUUUAAAUACAGAGAGUCUUAGUUUGGACUGAAAGAGAAAAAUUGCUCUGAUCUUUCUAAAGCUUGAACAUUAAGGCUUCUUUGCAAUUUUCUUAGAGCUCUUUGAUCGUUAAUUAUAUCUUUCCAUCGAAGAGAAGCAGAUUUCUUCUGAGAUUUCUGAACAGUUCCUGGGUGUUUCCGGUUCUGCUUCCGUGUACUAUCACUUUGCCUUGCCUCAGUCUCUCCUUCCUCCGGGGCCACAGAAGGAGAAAGCCCAAAGCAUACCCAUCCUGCCCUUUAAAAAAAAAAA
rnacentral:lncRNA from 1 species